rnacentral:rRNA from 1 species
UACGUAGGGUGCGAGCGUUGUCCGGAAUUAUUGGGCGUAAAGAGCUCGUAGGCGGUGUGUCGCGUCGGCUGUGCAAACCCGGGGCUCAACCCCGGGCCUGCGUCCGAUACUGUCGAACUAGAGUGCGGAAGAGGCGAGUGGAAUUCCUGGUGUAGCGGUGAAAUGCGCAGAUAUCAGGAGGAACACCAAUUGCGAAGGCAGCUCGCUGGGACGUAACUGACGCUGAGACGCGAAAGCGUGGGGAGCAAACAGG